CUUUACUUAAUACUUUAUUAUAAACUGUAUAGAAGAUGUAACUUCUUGAGUAAGAUUUUAUUCCAAAUUGGGUAAUAUGACAUUCCUCUCUCUUACUGUUCAACGUUGGCCCUCCUAAAGUAUUUCCAGUGAGAUUAUCCCCGUUCCCCAAUUCUUUCCUUUUUUAGAGCCUCUGUGAGGAGAAUUGAGAGACAGGGUAUACUCUUAGAAAGGCCAAAUGACCCCUCUCUUCAUUUCUCUGCCAUCGUGGUAUGUGCUUUACUCCGUUUCUCGCCAUGUCUUCUCACAGGACUUUCAGGAUUAAGCGAUUCCUGGCCAAGAAACAAAAGCAAAAUCAUUCCAUUCCCCAGUGGAUUCGGAUGAAAACUGGUAAUAAAAUCAGGUACAACUCCAAAAGGAGACAUUGGAGAAGAACCAAGCUGGGUUUAUAAGAAAUGACACAUGAGAUGGCACACAUAUUUAUGCUGUCUGAAGGUCACAAUCAUGUUACCAAAUCAAGCUGAAAAUGUCACCCCUAUCUGGAGAAUUUUGAACAGAGUUUCCUCUCUCGAUCUGUUAUAAACGUGUUGGUUGGCUGGGUUCGGUAAUAAAUAUGUGAGACCUUUAAUUUCAAAAAAAAAAAAAAAAAAAGG